rnacentral:rRNA from 1 species
CCUACGGGAGGCAGCAGUGGGGAAUAUUGGACAAUGGGCGCAAGCCUGAUCCAGCCAUACCGCGUGGGUGAAGAAGGCCUUCGGGUUGUAAAGCCCUUUUGUUGGGAAAGAAAAGCAGCCGGUUAAUACCCGGUUGUUCUGACGGUACCCAAAGAAUAAGCACCGGCUAACUUCGUGCCAGCAGCCGCGGUAAUACGAAGGGUGCAAGCGUUACUCGGAAUUACUGGGCGUAAAGCGUGCGUAGGUGGUUGUUUAAGUCUGUCGUGAAAGCCCUGGGCUCAACCUGGGAAUUGCGAUGGAAACUGGGCGACUAGAGUGUGGCAGAGGGUAGUGGAAUUCCUGGUGUAGCAGUGAAAUGCGUAGAGAUCAGGAGGAACAUCCGUGGCGAAGGCGACUGCCUGGGCCAACACUGACACUGAGGCACGAAAGCGUGGGGAGCAAACAGGAUUAGAUACCCUGGUAGUCCACGCCCUAAACGAUGCGAACUGGAUGUUGGGUGCACUUAGGCACGCAGUAUCGAAGCUAACGCGUUAAGUUCGCCGCCUGGGGAGUACGGUCGCAAGACUGAAACUCAAUGGAAUUGACGG